GAGGGAGCAGUCUCUGCGGAAAGCCGAAAGGGGAGGAGAUGGGAAGUUGUGGCCAGUGGUGGGAUCCCGUUGGAGGUAGCGAAAAUGUUGGAUGAUUAUAUCCUCCUGCAAUCUC